rnacentral:rRNA from 1 species
UACGAAGGGGGCUAGCGUUGCUCGGAAUCACUGGGCGUAAAGCGCACGUAGGCGGACUCUUAAGUCAGGGGUGAAAUCCUGGAGCUCAACUCCAGAACUGCCUUUGAUACUGGGAGUCUUGAGUUCGGGAGAGGUGAGUGGAACUGCGAGUGUAGAGGUGAAAUUCGUAGAUAUUCGCAAGAACACCAGUGGCGAGGGCGGCUCACUGGCCCGAUACUGAUGCUGAGGUGCGAAAGCGUGGGGAGCAAACAGG